rnacentral:lncRNA from 1 species
GUUACUUCAUAUUUGGGCUUCCUUAAUUGUGUUGUCAGGGCUUUCAGGGUCUGGCUCCAGCCUAACUGCCCCGCUGAUUGACUCUGCUCAUUGCUACAUGCCCUCCACCUGAGCCUGAUGAGCGCGACAAUCACUCCCCAGGGGCCUGGCGGAGGGCCUCGUGCCUCAUUUGCCGAGAACACUUGAUGGGCUUUGCACCGGCUGGUCCCUCCUCAUCGAAGGCCCAACUUCCUGAGCUGCCCGUUUAAAGCUUAGCUGACUUUACAGGUGCUGCUCAAGACCCAUCACCUCAGAGAUAAGAAGGAAACUCUGACUGCUCUUUCCUAUGGUGAACUUUUGCUUCUGUGCUAGGCUGGAAAAUGGCCCUCCAGAGAUAUGUCUGUGCCCUGAUCCCCAAAACCUGUGACUGUAAUCUUACUUGGAAAAAGGUCUUUGCAGAUGCCGUUAAGUUAGGGAUCUGGAGAUAAGGAGAUUACCCUGGAUUGUCUGGGGAGGACAAAGUGUCUUUAGAAGAGAAAGGGAGAAGGAGAUUUUAGACCCACAGAAGAGAAGGAGGCCAUGUAACCUUGGAGGCAGAUGGAUGUGGACGCGGAUCGAGGAACGCAGACUACCGUCAGAAGCUGGAGGAGGAACGAGUGGUCGCUAGAGCCUCUGUGGGGAGUGCUGCCUGGUGCCACCCUGACCGUGGACGACGGGCCUCCAGAGCCACGAAUGAAAUGAAACGCAGCUAUUGACGACAAGCCAAAUGGGCGAUGCAUCUGGCAGCUCUGUGAGGUGUGCAUCGGCAACCCUCUGCUCCGUGAAGGCGACACCUGCUCUUACUUUGCCCAGCUCUUCAAAGUGAAACGAUCUGUUAUAAUUUCCAUUAAGUUAUCUCAGAGGUCUUCUCCAUCACAAGACAGCAAAAGCUGGACAUUUACUUCUUUAUUAAAUGCAAGAAGAUGCGCACGCCCUGCCUCGUCCCUGGUGUGCGUUUCUGUGGGGACCAGUGGAGACUCUCAUUCAACAUCAGUCAGCCUGCAAUCUUCUCAUCACUCUUCAAUUUGGACCCCCCCCCCCCGAAAAAAGGCUAUUCAGACAAAAAU